rnacentral:rRNA from 1 species
CUACGGGAGGCUGCAGUGGGGAAUAUUGGACAAUGGGCGAAAGCCUGAUCCAGCCAUGCCGCGUGUGUGAAGAAGGCCUUCGGGUUGUAAAGCACUUUCAGUGGGGAAGAAAGCCUUGGGGCUAAUACCCUCGAGGAAGGACAUCACCCACAGAAGAAGCACCGGCUAACUCCGUGCCAGCGGCCGCGGUAAUACGGAGGGUGCGAGCGUUAAUCGGAAUUACUGGGCGUAAAGCGCGCGUAGGCGGUCUGAUAAGCCGGUUGUGAAAGCCCCGGGCUCAACCUGGGAACGGCAUCCGGAACUGUCAGGCUAGAGUGCAGGAGAGGAAGGUAGAAUUCCCGGUGUAGCGGUGAAAUGCGUAGAGAUCGGGAGGAAUACCAGUGGCGAAGGCGGCCUUCUGGACUGACACUGACGCUGAGGUGCGAAAGCGUGGGUAGCAAACAGGAUUAGAUACCCUAGUAGUC